CAGGCCUAACACAUGCAAGUCGAACGCAUCGCAAGAUGAGUGGCAGACGGGUGAGUAACGCGUGGGAACCUACCCAGAACUUCGGAAUAACACAUGGAAACGUGUGCUAAUACCGGAUACGCCCUACGGGGGAAAGAUUUAUCGGUUUUGGAUGGGCCCGCGUAAGAUUAGCUAGUUGGUGAGGUAAUGGCUCACCAAGGCGACGAUCUUUAGCUGGUCUGAGAGGAUGAUCUCCCACACUGGGACUGAGACACGGCCCAGACUCCUACGGGAGGCAGCAGUGGGGAAUAUUGGACAAUGGGCGCAAGCCUGAUCCAGCCAUGCCGCGUGAGUGAUGAAGGCCUUAGGGUUGUAAAGCUCUUUCAGUAGGGAAGAUAAUGACGGUACCUACAGAAGAAGCCCCGGCUAACUUCGUGCCAGCAGCCGCGGUAAUAAGGGC
rnacentral:rRNA from 1 species